GCGUUAAGUUGCAGGGUAUAGACCCGAAACCCGGUGAUCUAGCCAUGGGCAGGUUGAAGGUUGGGUAACACUAACUGGAGGACCGAACCGACUAAUGUUGAAAAAUUAGCGGAUGACCUGUGGCUGGGGGUGAAAGGCCAAUCAAACCGGGAGAUAGCUGGUUCUCCCCGAAAGCUAUUUAGGUAGCGCCUCGUGAAUUCAUCUCCGGGGGUAGAGCACUGUUUCGGCUAGGGGGCCAUCCCGGCUUACCAACCCGAUGCAAACUGCGAAUACCGGAGAAUGUUAUCACGGGAGACACACGGCGGGUGCUAACGUCCGUCGUGAAGAGGGAAACAACCCAGACCGCCAGCUAAGGUCCCAAAGUCAUGGUUAAGUGGGAAACGAUGUGGGAAGGCCCAGACAGCCAGGAUGUUGGCUUAGAAGCAGCCAUCAUUUAAAGAAAGCGUAAUAGCUCACUGGUCGAGUCGGCCUGCGCGGAAGAUGUAACGGGGCUAAACCAUGCACCGAAGCUGCGGCAGCGACGCUGUGCGUUGUUGGGUAGGGGAGCGUUCUGUAAGCCUGCGAAGGUGACCUGUGAGGGUUGCUGGAGGUAUCAGAAGUGCGAAUGCUGACAUAAGUAACGAUAAAGCGGGUGAAAAGCCCGCUCGCCGGAAGACCAAGGGUUCCUGUCCAACGUUAAUCGGGGCAGGGUGAGUCGACCCCUAAGGCGAGGCCGAAAGGCGUAGUCGAUGGGAAACGGGUUAAUAUUCCCGUACUUGGUGUUACUGCGAAGGGGGGACGGAGAAGGCUAUGUUGGCCGGGCGACGGUUGUCCCGGUUUAAGCGUGUAGGUGUGUGUUCCAGGUAAAUCCGGUUCACUUUAACACUGAGGCGUGACGACGAGGCACUACGGUGCUGAAGCAACAAAUGCCCUGCUUCCAGGAAAAGCCUCUAAGCAUCAGGUAACAUCAAAUCGUACCCCAAACCGACACAGGUGGUCAGGUAGAGAAUACCAAGGCGCUUGAGAGAACUCGGGUGAAGGAACUAGGCAAAAUGGUGCCGUAACUUCGGGAGAAGGCACGCUGACACGUAGGUGAAGUGAUUUACUCACGGAGCUGAAGUCAGUCGAAGAUACCAGCUGGCUGCAACUGUUUAUUAAAAACACAGCACUGUGCAAACACGAAAGUGGACGUAUACGGUGUGACGCCUGCCCGGUGCCGGAAGGUUAAUUGAUGGGGUCAGCGCAAGCGAAGCUCCUGAUCGAAGCCCCGGUAAACGGCGGCCGUAACUAUAACGGUCCUAAGGUAGCGAAAUUCCUUGUCGGGUAAGUUCCGACCUGCACGAAUGGCGUAAUGAUGGCCAGGCUGUCUCCACCCGAGACUCAGUGAAAUUGAACUCGCUGUGAAGAUGCAGUGUACCCGCGGCAAGACGGAAAGACCCCGUGAACCUUUACUAUAGCUUGACACUGAACAUUGAGCCUUGAUGUGUAGGAUAGGUGGGAGGCUUUGAAGUGUGGACGCCAGUCUGCAUGGAGCCGACCUUGAAAUACCACCCUUUAAUGUUUGAUGUUCUAACGUGGACCCGUUACCCGGGUUGCGGACAGUGUCUGGUGGGUAGUUUGACUGGGGCGGUCUCCUCCUAAAGAGUAACGGAGGAGCACGAAGGUUGGCUAAUCCUGGUCGGACAUCAGGAGGUUAGUGCAAUGGCAUAAGCCAGCUUGACUGCGAGCGUGACGGCGCGAGCAGGUGCGAAAGCAGGUCAUAGUGAUCCGGUGGUUCUGAAUGGAAGGGCCAUCGCUCAACGGAUAAAAGGUACUCCGGGGAUAACAGGCUGAUACCGCCCAAGAGUUCAUAUCGACGGCGGUGUUUGGCACCUCGAUGUCGGCUCAUCACAUCCUGGGGCUGAAGUAGGUCCCAAGGGUAUGGCUGUUCGCCAUUUAAAGUGGUACGCGAGCUGGGUUUAGAACGUCGUGAGACAGUUCGGUCCCUAUCUGCCGUGGGCGCUGGAGAACUGAGGGGGGCUGCUCCUAGUACGAGAGGACCGGAGUGGACGCAUCACUGGUGUUCGGGUUGUCAUGCCAAUGGCACUGCCCGGUAGCUAAAUGCGGAAGAGAUAAGUGCUGAAAGCAUCUAAGCACGAAACUUGCCCCGAGAUGAGUUCU
rnacentral:rRNA from 1 species